CCUACGGGAGGCAGCAGUCGAGAAUCAUUCACAAUGGGGGAAACCCUGAUGGUGCGACGCCGCGUGGGGGAAUGAAGGUCUUCGGAUUGUAAACCCCUGUCAUGUGGGAGCAAAUUAUAAAGAUAGUACCACAAGAGGAAGAGACGGCUAACUCUGUGCCAGCAGCCGCGGUAAUACAGAGGUCUCAAGCGUUGUUCGGAAUCACUGGGCGUAAAGGGUGCGUAGGCUGUUUCGUAAGUCGUGUGUGAAAGGCGCGGGCUCAACCCGCGGACGGCACAUGAUACUGCGAGACUAGAGUAAUGGAGGGGGAAGCGGAAUUCGCGGUGUAGCAGUGAAAUGCGUAGAUAUCGAGAGGAACACUCGUGGCGAAGGCGGGUUCCUGGACAUUAACUGACGCUGAGGCACGAAGGCCAGGGGAGCGAAAGGGAUUAGAUACCCCGGUAGUC
rnacentral:rRNA from 1 species